UUCAAAUUGUAUAUAAUCAUUCUAUACACUUAUAAUAAUACAAUUCGUUUUAUAUAUUUCGUUUUUAUACAAUUCUCUGCCCAAGUGUCUUUCUCUUUCUUGUUUUAUACAGUUCGCUUUAUACUUUGCUUCAACUAUAUAUGUAUAGCGAAUUAUACAGUUUUGAUGUUUGCUAUGGAGCGUCAUUAUGCAAACUUUGCUAUAGCAUACAAAUAUAAUUUUUUUAUUUGCUAUAUGUGAAAGUUGCCCUAUAAUUAAUCGUCACGCUUUCUCAGUUCCAAACAAUUUAAAAUAAUUAGUUUUAUCAAAAUUUAAAAAAUAAAUAUGGUUUGCAAGUUAUUUUCAAUAGUAUCGUCACUUUUUUUUUAUAAUUUUUAAAUAAUAUAUAUAUUUUACAUAAUUAUGUAUCUUAUUAGUAUAUUUUAUGAAUAUUUGAAAAUUGACUCAAAAAAAUUUAAGUUUUACUUAAAUAUUUGGUUGAUUAGUAUAUCUAAUAUAUAGUUUAUAUUUUUGAGUUAUUAGUUACAAUUAAAUUAAUUAUUUUAUUUGGUAUCAAAUUCAUCCUUAUUUGUAUAUGUUUCCCCCAAAAUGAUCCCGAUCUCAGCCUAUAAAUAUAUCUUUCUUUUAUAUUAUGUAGAGGAGGGGCUUAGAGGUUAGAGACAAGAGAUUUUACAGUCUAAAAACUAGAAGUUUAUUUUUUAAUCGAGAGAACAAAAAAUCGAGAGCUAUUUUUUGUAUUUAUCCUCUUCUUGCUCGAGUUAAGGGCACAGUGGUGGUAGUUCUUCACGGUGAAUCUCAUCGUCUCCGUCAUUGCCGGAAAAGGGACCUUCAAUGAAGAGCCCAAUGCUCCUUGGUGAAAGCUAGAAUGCUCUCUAUAUAUUGAAAAACAGGCUUCCAGAUUCUUCUUAUUCUCUUAAAUCCUGCUUUUAAGUCUACUUCUAGUUCAAAUUCCCUAAAAAAUGAUAAAUCUAGUUUGUUGUGCAUUUCUGUUUCUGUUAUUCAAAGCAAGUUAUGGUAUGUAAGGUUAAGGAAUAUGUCUUUAUCAAAUAUGCAGAAUGUCAAUGGAAUUCCUAUUUCAGAUUGUUCAAAA